AGGGCGGAGCGGGCCCGGCCCGGCCCGGGGGAAGGGCUGCGUGGGCCUGUGGUCAGUGCCUCUCCUUGGCGUGUGCUUCCCGGGCCUCUGCCGUCCCUUUGAAAUGCAAAGCCUGGCGUAGAGCAUCAGCUCGUUUGUUGUUUCUAGUGGCCGCGUUACGAAUGCCGGUGCUCCACGCUGAUGAUAGAAAAGCUCCACUGAGGUAGGCUGCUCUUGAAAUACCUGCCUUGACAGUUGGACUCCUUGAAGUGUCUUACUGGAUCCUGUGUUUUUAAAGCAAGUCAGGCCAUUCUUACAAAGGACUUCAACCUUCAUGUUGCUUGUGUACCUGCAAUCCUUCAUGUUCCACCUUUAAACUACACUAGUGCAGUGUGCAGCAUGUGUCAUGUCCCAUGGAGCAAAGAAAAAGCCAAGGAAGUGCCUGUUUAAGGAGGUCACGGAAUCAAAAAGAAACUUGGAACCAAAAAGAAUCGUCAAAUGGCUAAGAGCUAUUUGGCAGAUAAUUCUUGUGAGGCCCGGACAAGCGGCAGGGUUAAUUUGGUCUUUUCUUCUUGGGGAGAGGCCCUGCUUCCUUCCGUGGGCGAAGGCUUCUCCGAUGUGCGUCCCUUUCCUUGACGGUUUCAAACACCCUGGAAGACAGGAAACAAACCAUCCAUUGUUAAUUCAAUACACCCCAUUAAACCAAGCUCCAAGAUUUCCAUGUCUCCGUGAAUUUCUGUCUUUUCUGGCUGUGGCACCUCUGUAAAUUGAUCAGAAGCAUAAAUCUGAUCUUUCUGGUUGCAGUUCCUUCAAACGUCUUCCUCCUUUUGCUUCAUCUUAUUUUUGAUUUGGUCAGCACCAUCAAAGCAAGCUUUGGUCUCCCUAUUCCUACUUGCGUUCGAAUUGUGUCUUGGUGGGGCACGGCAAGGUUUCCCUGGGAACGCUGGGCUUUAACCAAGCUCUUUGGGGUGCAAGUGCAUUGUAAGGCUUUGCACGGCGGUGAGAGGCGAUCCUGCGAGUGCCCUCAGCUUCCCCCGUGGUGCCUUUGAACACGGUCAGCCUGUUUUAGUCCAAAGGCGCAGGCUUUGAGCAGAAAGAGGUAGAACUUGCGCACCGUUUGCACUGGCCGCAGGGAAAGGGGCCUCCCGCCAAAUGGGGUGGCUGGGGCGCUUGGCAGCAGGGACACUCCGCGUUGCGGGCCCUCUUGCGGCUUCUCUUCCCUGUCUCCCCAUUCUCCUUUCUGGGAGGGCUUUUGCUCCUCUUUGGUUCGCUCACAGUCUGGAAAUCAAAGAAUCCUUAUCAAUUUUUCCUUCCUCUCACAAAGCUGGAAAUCAGAGCAUCCAGCGCCAAAAUGCAUGGGCCUAAGCAAAUUCCUCCCAAGCCUAAAGAGCUGGGAAAACAGCUGGAUUUGGGGGCAGGCUGCAGCGCAAUGCAAACACAGCACUUGGAGGAAGAAACGCCUCCUUUCUACGGCCUGAAGGGGUGGGAUCAAUACGUGCCUAUCUAUAGUUCUGCAUUUCUUAACUGAACCUCUCUGCCUAGCAUCUAUUUACCGCUAGUUUUCCUCCCUGUCCAGGGAAUGGCUUUUAAAUUCAGCCAAAUUCAUAAAGACACACAGCUACCCAGUUUCUACUGCCCAAACUCAUCUCUUUCUCUCUCUCUCUGUGAAGCAAAUUCUGGUUUGUCAGUAAGGAAAGUUUUAGCAGAGCCACAGCACGGGCAGCUCCUUUUUGGGGAGUCCAUUGGCAUGCUACAAAAGGUCCCUG
ensembl:lncRNA